rnacentral:rRNA from 1 species
CAGCCGCCGUGGUAAUACGGAGGGUGCAAGCGUUAAUCGGAAUUACUGGGCGUAAAGCGCACGCAGGCGGUCUGACAAGUCAGAUGUGAAAUCCCCGGGCUUAACCUGGGAACUGCAUUUGAAACUGUCAGGCUGGAGUCUUGUAGAGGGGGGUGGAAUUCCAGGUGUAGCGGUGAAAUGCGUAGAGAUCUGGAGGAACACCGAUGGCGAAGGCAAUCCCCUGGGCAUGUACUGACGCUCAUGCACGAAAGCGUGGGGAGCAAACAGGAUUAGAUACCCCUGUAGUCCCUGUCUCUUAUAC